AUGGCUGGAUUCUCAGCCCUUGGAUUACUUUUUCUCUUCCAACUGCUGGCCACCUCCUCGGCUCAGAGGCCAGGUCCACGAGGCCCUCCUGGACCACGAGGACUCCCGGGAACACCUGGCAAGGAUGGCAUAGAUGGAGAGCCCGGUCCCCCUGGCUUGCCUGGUCCAGCGGGGCCUAAAGGGGCACCAGGGAGACUCGGGAAGACGGGGGAUGCAGGAUUACCUGGCCUUCCAGGAGUAGAUGGUUUAACAGGAUCUGAUGGCCCACCUGGGCCAAAUGGACCACCGGGAGACAGAG